rnacentral:rRNA from 1 species
GUCGAGCGGAUGAGGGAGCUUGCUCCUGGAUUCAGCGGCGGACGGGUGAGUAAUGCCUAGGAAUCUGCCUGGUAGUGGGGGAUAACGUCCGGAAACGGGCGCUAAUACCGCAUACGUCCUGAGGGAGAAAGUGGGGGAUCUUCGGACCUCACGCUAUCAGAUGAGCCUAGGUCGGAUUAGCUAGUUGGUGGGGUAAAGGCCUACCAAGGCGACGAUCCGUAACUGGUCUGAGAGGAUGAUCAGUCACACUGGAACUGAGACACGGUCCAGACUCCUACGGGAGGCAGCAGUGGGGAAUAUUGGACAAUGGGCGAAAGCCUGAUCCAGCCAUGCCGCGUGUGUGAAGAAGGUCUUCGGAUUGUAAAGCACUUUAAGUUGGGAGGAAGGGCAGUAAGUUAAUACCUUGCUGUUUUGACGUUACCAACAGAAUAAGCACCGGCUAACUUCGUGCCAGCAGCCGCGGUAAUACGAAGGGUGCAAGCGUUAAUCGGAAUUACUGGGCGUAAAGCGCGCGUAGGUGGUUCAGCAAGUUGGAUGUGAAAUCCCCGGGCUCAACCUGGGAACUGCAUCCAAAACUACUGAGCUAGAGUACGGUAGAGGGUGGUGGAAUUUCCUGUGUAGCGGUGAAAUGCGUAGAUAUAGGAAGGAACACCAGUGGCGAAGGCGACCACCUGGACUGAUACUGACACUGACGUGCGAAAGCGUGGGGAGCAAACAGGAUUAGAUACCCUGGUAGUCCACGCCGUAAACGAUGUCGACUAGCCGUUGGGAUCCUUGAGAUCUUAUUGGCGCAGCUAACGCGAUAAGUCGACCGCCUGGGGAGUACGGCCGCAAGGUUAAAAACUCAAAUGAAUUGACGGGGGCCCGCACAAGCGGUG